rnacentral:rRNA from 1 species
GGGGGUGCAAGGAAAAGAGAGGGAAAAAAUCUGGGGAAAAAGGGCAGGGUAACCCAAAGGGAGGAUUGUUCCUUGAUGCGGGUAGGAAAGCUUGGGGAUGGAAGGCGGCUCUGAAGUCGGCGGUCGUAGUCCCAACCCAUAAACUUAGUGCGGACUUAGGGGAUUUGGGAGGUUGUCCGUUUGUGAGAAUCGUUUUCAGGCACCUUUGAGGAGAAAUUCAAAGUCUUUGGUUUUUGGGGGGAGUUAUGGUCGCAAGGCUGAAAGUUAAAGGAAUUGAUGGAAGGGCACCACCAGGCGUGGAGCCUGCGGCUUAAUUUGACUCAACACGGGGAAACUCGCCAGGUCCAGACAAAGGAAGGAUUGACAGAUUGAUAGCUCUUUCAGGAUUCUUUGGGUGGUGGUGCAUGGCCGUUGUUAGUUGGUGGAGUGAUUUGUCUGGGUAAUUCCGUUAACGAAGGAGACCUUAACCUGCUAAAUAGGGUACGGGAAUAAGCUUUUGCUGUCCCGUGAUCGCUUGUUAGAGGGACUUUGCGGUUAUAAAUGGCAAGGAAGUUUAAGGCAAUAACAGGUCUGUGAUGCCCUUAGAUGUCCUGGGCUGCACGCGCGAAUACACUGAUGCGUUCAUCGAGUUUAUCCUUGGCCGAGAGGCCUGGGUAAUCUUUAGUACGCAUCGUGAUGGGGAUCGAUUAUUGCAAUUAGUAAUCGUGAACGAGGAAUGCGUAGUAUGCGCAAGUCAUGCAGGUUGUGCAGAUUACGUCCGUGCCCUUUGUACACACCGGCGGUCGAUCUUAUCGAAUGAGUGAUUAGGGGAAGAACUUGGAGCUUGUUCUUGGAAUUUUU